CUCUGGGAGCAGCAUCAUUAUUCCUCGUCAUCACCUACCCCCUGAUGAAGAGAAUCACAUACUGGCCUCAGCUAGCCUUGGCAGUGGAGAUGCCAACCCGGUAUCUGUAAAGAGCACACGGUCUUGGCGCACAGGGCUGGUCACAGGAAAGCUUCACGAAUGAAGGGCCUUCCGGGUGCACGGUGUCCUUGGAGUAAGAUGAAGGCAACAAUCAUUAACGCUUUAGGAUCCAGGAAAAGGACCCGAGUGCAGAUCCCCCAGUGGCUCAGGAUCUGGCUCGCUCAGCCAGUCCUCAGUCCCCUUGGGCUGCACAGGGACAGACCUCUUCCGUGGAUGUGCCGCCGUUGCUGCCACGCGGACUUCGGAGCUGCCUCACUCCACGUGGGCACCAAGGGAGAGCAAAGGAAAGCACCGAGAAGCCAGUCUUGUUGUGCCUAACCUCGGAGGUGCCACCGCCUUGUUUCUUCUGUCUUCUGUCCCAGGGAGGGAUUGUUCUAGGGCGAAAUCAAGGCGGAGAUCACAGCCGUAUGCUCCAGAGGCCAACUUAGCAUCUCUGCGUCAGUCAGCGUAGUCCUCUGAUGGUGACUGAGCCGCUUCCUGCCUCUGACUGUGAUGUAUCUCACAGGCUCUGCGACUUGGAGUUUGGUGCCAUAGGACAUGCAAUUGCUUAUGAAAGGUACACGACAGGAUCUCACCGUGUAGGCAGGCUGGCCUUUAACUCACUGUGU